rnacentral:rRNA from 1 species
CAAUAGCGUAUAUUAAAGUUGUUGCAGUUAAAAAGCUCGUAGUUGGAUUUCUGAUCGAGACAUCAGGUCGGGUCCGAGAGGGUCAUGUACUUUGAUUUUGUUUUGAUCAUCCUUGGGGAGAGCAUUUCUGGCAUUCAGUUGUCGGGAUUGGGAUCCUCAUCGUUUACUGUGAAAAAAUUAGAGUGUUCAAAGCAGGCCUCGGCCUCUGAAUACAUUAGCAUGGAAUAAUAAGAUAGGACUUUGGUGGUCUAUUUUGUUGGUUUGCACGCCAAAGUAAUGAUUAAUAGGGAUAGUUGGGGGUAUUCGUAUUCAAUUGUCAGAGGUGAAAUUCUUGGAUUUAUGGAAGACGAACUACUGCGAAAGCAUUUACCAAGGAUGUUUUCAUUAA